rnacentral:rRNA from 1 species
UACGGGGGGAGCAAGCGUUGUUCGGAUUUACUGGGCGUAAAGGGCGCGUAGGCGGCCAGCACAAGUCAGUUGUGAAAUCUCCGAGCUUAACUCGGAAAGGUCAACUGAUACUGUGCGGCUAGAGUGCGGAAGGGGCAACUGGAAUUCUUGGUGUAGCGGUGAAAUGCGUAGAUAUCAAGAGGAACACCUGCGGCGAAGGUGGGUUGCUGGGCCGACACUGACGCUGAUGCGCGAAAGCCAGGGGAGCGAACGGG